rnacentral:rRNA from 15 species
CUCCUUUGAUGAAAACCGCAGCAUACUGCAGUUUCUAAAGAAGAAUUGCAGAUUACAUUUU